UACGAGGGGUGCAAGCGUUGUCCGGAAUUAUUGGGCGUAAAGGGUAGGUAGGUGGUCUCAUUUGUCUCAUGUGAAAGCCUUGAGCUUAACUCAAGAAGUGCGUGAGAAACGGUGAGACUAGAGUCUUGGAGAGGGUCGUGGAAUUCCCGGUGUAGCGGUGAAAUGCGUAGAGAUCGGGAGGAACACCAGAGGCGAAGGCGGCGACCUGGACGAAGUACU
rnacentral:rRNA from 1 species